CCUCGUCUCUGGCCUGCAGCAUCCCAUCCUGUGCCUGCACCUUCUCAAGGUUCUAUACUCCUGCUGCCUUGUCAGUGAGCGCCUGUGCCGUCUUCUAGGGCAGGAGCCCCUGGCCUUGGAAUCCCUGUUUAUGUUGGUUCAGGGCAAGGUAAAAGUAGUAGAUUGGGAAGAGUCUACUGAAGUGACACUCUACUUCCUCUCCCUUCUUGUCUUUCGGCUCCAAAACCUGCCUUGUGGAAUGGAGAAGCUAGGCAGUGACGUUGCUACUCUCUUUACCCAUUCGCAUGUCGUCUCUCUUGUGAGUGCAGCAGCCUGUCUAUUGGGACAGCUUGGUCAGCAAGGGGUGACCUUUGACCUCCAGCCCAUGGAAUGGAUGGCUGCAGCCACACAUGCCUUGUCUGCCCCUGCAGAGCUCCUCACUGAGGUACAGAUGCAUCUUGGGAUGGAUGGGAAGUAAAGAGAGAGGAACUGGGCAUUUUGGGGAGCCUCUGGACCAGAGGAAUGAAGAAGCAACCCACAGCCUCCCCUCUCAAGCUGCUGUGCCUGUGAUAGCCUUGGAACUUCCCUGCCUGCCCUCACAGGGGAAGGCUAGCCUAAUCAGGGAUAUGUCCAGUUCAGAAAUGUGGACCGUUUUGUGGCACCGCUUCUCCAUGGUCCUGAGGCUCCCCAAGGAGGCAUCUGCACAGGAAGGGGAGCUUUCGCUAUCCAGUCCACCAAGCCCUGAGCCGGA
rnacentral:sRNA from 1 species